GGCGAACGGGUGAGUAACACGUGGAUAACCUGCCUCAAGGCUGGGGAUAACAUUUGGAAACAGAUGCUAAUACCGAAUAAAACUUAGUAUCGCAUGAUACAAAGUUGAAAGGCGCUACGGCGUCACCUAGAGAUGGGUCCGCGGUGCAUUAGUUAGUUGGUGGGGUAAAGGCCUACCAAGACAAUGAUGCAUAGCCGAGUUGAGAGACUGAUCGGCCACAUUGGGACUGAGACACGGCCCAAACUCCUACGGGAGGCUGCAGUAGGGAAUCUUCCACAAUGGGCGAAAGCCUGAUGGAGCAACGCCGCGUGUGUGAUGAAGGCUUUAGGGUCGUAAAGCACUGUUGUAUGGGAAGAAAUGCUAGAAUAGGGAAUGAUUCUAGUUCGACGGUACCAUACCAGAAAGGGACGGCUAAAUACGUGCCAGCAGCCGCGGUAAUACGUAUGUCCCGAGCGUUAUCCGGAUUUAUUGGGCGUAAAGCGAGCGCAGACGGUUGAUUAAGUCUGAUGUGAAAGCCCGGAGCUCAACUCCGGAAUGGCAUUGGAAACUGGUUAACUUGAGUGUUGUAGAGGUAAGUGGAACUCCAUGUGUAGCGGUGGAAUGCGUAGAUAUAUGGAAGAACACCAGUGGCGAAGGCGGCUUACUGGACAACAACUGACGUUGAGGCUCGAAAGUGUGGGUAGCAAACAGGAUUAGAUACCCUGGUAGUCCACACCGUAAACGAUGAAUACUAGGUGUUAGGAGGUUUCCGCCUCUUAGUGCCGAAGCUAACGCAUUAAGUAUUCCGCCUGGGGAGUACGACCGCAAGGUUGAACUCAAAGGAAUUGACGGGGACCCGCACAAGCGGUGGAGCAUGUGGUUUAAUUCGAAGCAACGCGAAGAACCCUACCAGGUCUUGACAUCCUUUGAAGCUUUUAGAGAUAGAAGUGUUUUCUUUUGAGACAAAAAGACAGGUGGUGCAUGGUGGUCGUCAGCUCGUGUCGUGAGAUGUUGGGUUAAGUCCCGCAACGAGCGCAACCCCUAUUGUUAGUUGCCAGCAUUCAGUUGGGCACUCUAGCGAGACUGCCGGUGACAAACCGGAGGAAGGGGGGGGGGAGGUCAGAUCAU
rnacentral:rRNA from 1 species